AUCAGUUCCCUUCCCUGCUCUGGCUUAAAAUGCAAAUUAUCUAGGAAACAGCACAUCCAAGCAUCAUGAAUAGGUAAACAUUUAUGUAUAGUACAGAUUCAUGUAGCAAAGGCUACAGAAUGGGAGUAGGGCAGGAAAGUGUGUGUGAGGGCCAAGGAGGGCUCUGAGAGUUGCAUAACGUGGUGUUCACACAAGGAAGGCAUGAGGGUGAUGGGGGUGGGGACCUGAGCAGGUGGGAGGCCGUUUGGUGGCACGGUGGGACUGAGAGGCAGAAAGCAGGAGGAACCCUGCUUACCUUCUGCAAGCGCCACUGCAGGACAGAUGGAAAAGGAGCCAACCAGCGGAACUGGGAGACCCAUGGUCCCAAUGCUAAGGCUCUCGCUGAGGCAUACAAACUCACCCUGGCCCCAGUUGUGAUUCAGCACCAGCCACUGUCCACUCCAGUUUAAAUCCCGAUGGGGAUGAUUCCAGAGCUGACUGCAGUGUCCGAGAUACCAGCAAAAAUUCCAGGAAUCUCCCAGACCCAGACAUAGAAGACAGUGCACCCCAUUUCUAAAGCAAAGCCCUUUC